AUUGAACGCUGGCGGCAGGCCUAACACAUGCAAGUCGAACGGCAACACAGUGAGAGCUGCCUCUUUCCGGUCGCGAGGCGGACGGGGGAGAAAAAUCCGUGAAACUGUACUUUUUCGGGGGGUAUCACGUAGAAACGGUAACUCAAAUCCCACAUCGUCCCUACGCGAAAAAGCGGGAGCUCUUCGCCCCUUGCGCUCGUGUGUGACCAGAUGUGGUAUUAGCUAGGAGGUGGGGAAACGGCUCACCUAGGCGACGAUCCCUAGCUGGUCUGAGAGGAUGACCAGCCACACUGGAACUGAGACACGGUCCAGACUCCUACGGGAGGCAGCAGUGGGGAAUAUUACACAAUGGGCGCAAGCCUGAUGCAGCCAUGCCGCGUGUAUGAAGAAGGCCUUCGGGUUGUAAAGUACUUUCAGCGGGGAGGAAGGGAGUAAAGUUAAUACCUUUGCUCAUUGACGUUACCCGAAGAAGAAGCACCGGCUAACUCCGUG
rnacentral:rRNA from 1 species